rnacentral:misc_RNA from 1 species
GAUGAAGAACGUAGCGAAAUGCGAUAAGUAGUGUGAAUUGCAGAAUUCAGUGAAUCAUCGAAUCUUUGAACGCACAUUGCGCCCCUCGGUAUUCCGUGGGGCAUGCCUGUUCGAGCGUCAUUUAACCCCUCAAGCCUAGCUUGGUAUUGGGUGCUUGUCCCCCCUCUCGCGCGGCGACUCACCUCAAAGUCAUUGGCAGCCCGCAUCUCGCCGGCCGUGAGCGCAGCACAGACGCGCUCUUGGCAACGACGGAUCGGCUCUCCAAAAGCUUAUUUCAACCACUGACCUCGGAUCAGGUAGGGAUACCCGCUGAACUUAAGCAUAUCAAUAAGCGGAGGA